rnacentral:tRNA from 1 species
GCUAGUUUGCUUGAGAGGUUAAGGGGGAAAACUUAUGAUCUUUUACAUGUAAGUGCGUGUUGGUUCAAACCCCAUACUUAGCA